GACGAAGGUGGCUAGCGUUGUUCGGUGUCACUGGGCUUAAAGCGUGUGUAGGCGGAGAUGUAAGCGUCUUGUGAAAUCCCCCGGCUCAACCGGGGAAUUGCGUGACGAACUACAUUUCUUGAGGCAAAUAGGGGUGCAUGGAACUCUUGGUGGAGCGGUGGAAUGCGUAGAUAUCAAGAGGAACGCCAGUGGUGAAGACGGUGCACUAGAUUUGUCCUGACGCUGAGACACGAAAGCGUGGGUAGCGAACGGG
rnacentral:rRNA from 1 species